rnacentral:misc_RNA from 1 species
GAUGAAGAACGUAGUGAAAUGCGAUAAGUAAUGCGAAUUGCAGAAUUCAGUGAGUCAUCGAAUCUUUGAACGCAUAUUGCGCCCUUUGGUAUUCCGAAGGGCAUGCCUGUUCGAGCGUCAUUAUCACAAUAUCAAGCUUGGCUUGUUGUUGGGCCCUUUGUCACCUGGUGACAGGUCCAAAAGACAAUAACCGGUGUCAUACAGACUCUAUAUGCAACGAGCUUAUAACAGCACGCAUCUGGUGGUCAUGUGGCCCGGUUCUCACCUCUAUUUUUCAAGGUUGACCUCGGAUCAGGUAGGAAUACCCGCUGAACUUAAGCAUAUCAAUAAGCGGAGGA